UGGUUCUGGCAUCGAUGAAGAACGCAGCGAAAUGCGAUAAGUAAUGCGAAUUGCAGAAUCCGUGAGUCAUCGAAUCUUUGAACGCACAUUGCGCCCUUUGGUAUUCCGAAGGGCAUGCCUGUUCGAGCGUCAUUAUCACCCCUCAAGCCCGGCUUGCUGUUGGUGGCGGCGUGGCCCCCGGCCCCGCCCCGCCCAAAGAUAAUGACGGCGUCUGCGAGGACUCCUGUACACUGAGCUUUCGGGCACGUACACGGCUAGAAGUCCAGGCGCCGGUCGACGUCGCUGCCCCGGCAGCGGCACCCUUUUUUACCAAGGUUGACCUCGGAUCAGGUAGGGAUACCCGCUGA
rnacentral:misc_RNA from 1 species